AGGUAUGUCAUUGUGUGUUUAUAGAGGUAUGAAAAAUGACCUGGCUCAGAAAACCUUAAUGAAGCUAACUCAGGUUCACUGAUGCAAUGAAACUCGGCUUUCUUUCUGAAGAACUGCAGCUGCACUUCAAGUGUGACAGUUCUGUCCAGCUAUGGACAGGUCCAGAAAAAGGAUGCUCCAAAUUCAAAGGGUGCCACAUUUGGUGGAUGAGAGGUAAAGUCAUGUCAACCACAAGAUAAGCCCCAUGUCCUGCUCCUUUGCAUUUACUCUGGGAGACUCUGCUGGGGCUACUGCAGUGGAACAGCCCUUUCCCAAAGACACCAAGGAAGGAAGAAAAAGAGAGCAGAGUGGAGGAAGUCCUUGCCCAGCUGCAAGCAGAUGGUUAAGAGGCAGUUUAACUAUCUGCUGUGCCAUUCAGGUGUCUCAUUCUAAAACAUAUCUAGGAUAAUGCAUUUUCUGAAUACCAAGGGUCAGCAUUUUGUGUUAGGGAACAGGACUUAGAGAAGUAUUGGUGAAAAAAUCUGAAUGGCUGUUACAGCUUAGCUUAUAUUUGUAUUUUUAAUGUUGUAUUUUUAAGAAGGGGAAAAUUAGAGAUUUCAGACAAUUCAGAAUUGUAUUUCUAGGCUGUCCAAUAACAGAGGGAGCCAACUACCACUAUAGGUUUCAUGGCUUGAUGCCAACACAUUAAAAUAGCUUUGUGAUUCUGCAAAAAUGAUAAGCCUUCUUCAUCAUUUAAUAUGAAACAUCCUUUUUCCUGGCGGUGUAUUUCUAACACAAAACAGUAGGGGUUUAGAUUUCUGGCUCCAGCCACUGUGAUAAGAAUCAAGCAGUAAAAUCUCUACUCCUUGCUUUGGAACUAUUCUUUGCAUAUUCUAUUUUAUCAGCGUAAGAUCAGUGCUCAAAUACUUAGUCAUCAUUACCCACUUCUGCCCUACAGACAAUCAAACAAAGAGGAUAUGUCAAGAGUUGGAAAACAUCUGUUAAUAGUGCAAAGAUUUCCAUCUAUUUAUCAAGUCCUUCUCCAUUUAUUACCAUAAGAGUCAUAAUUGUCUAAAAUGGCUCUUUUUCCACUUGAAAGAUAACAGGACAUUUGCAGUUUAACCCGGCAAACACCUGUGUAUAUGGUGGAAGCAGUUGCAAGAAGGUCUGUGUGUUCAUAGGAUAGUUUGGAACUGAUGGGAGGGAGUCACAAAGGAAAUCAUUGGAUUCAUUUUCCUUUCAAAUUAGCACGUGCUAAUCUUUGUUUCUUUUCAGUGCAGUGGGUUUACAGAGGCAGGUAAAUGGAACUGUGGAGAAUUUAGCCUGGUAGCAGAAUCACAAAAAGUGCCCAGUCAUCUUGAACAUUAGUAUUGAGCCUUUUAUUAAGACAUUGAUGCAGCAUGAAUUUAGGGAUGUGGCACUGCAACUGCUAAAGUUUGAGAUGAACAGGCAUACUCUCAUUCCCUCUUGUUGACUCCUGGGUGGGGAUGGCUUUUUCUUUGUUUGCACGGUUUGGAUGCAUGAUUAGUAGUAUAGUGAUCUCUUUUGGCCAUAGUUCAUCUUUAUGCUAUUCUUAAAGAUCUCUUUCUGCUAUAGAUAUGCAGGAAAAUUAGCACUGGCCAAUGCUUGUUCAUGUUCAUUAUAGCUGUCCUACCCAUUUUAGAAAGGGUACUCUCUAACAAAAGUAUCUUCUACUGCCCUCUCCUGCUACCUUUCUAGGCAGAAAAUGUGGAAGAAAUUACCAUGUAAUAGUAUCUGUUCACCAAAUGACCCAAAAAGUGAAGCCAGAGCUCCGGGAAAUUUGGGGUAGUUGGCUGUACUGUGAAUGGGCUCGAUACAGUAUCUGUGAGGAAGGCAUAAGCCACACAGACAAAUUGCUCUCAGCAAUGUCUACCCUGAAGCAACAAUGUUAGCGCAAAGGACAAGGUUUUCAAUAGCAAACUGUGAAUGUCCCUGUGUAAGAGCUGGAAUUGACUUGAACUAAGUAUUUAUAAACCAUUUAGCUCAUCUUAAAACAUUGUGGCUAGUCACUGCUGUGAUUAAAAUAAAUACCGUACUGAAAACUCAAUGGACAAAGAGUUGUAAUUGAGGUACACUUAAUUAAGAUGGAUUAAACUCUUCCCACAAGUUUAUCGGUUUAUGCUCAAUGAGGUGGAACUGAAUGUAAUUAGCUAA